AUGCAGCCGGACCAGAACCAGCAGCGGAGGAAGGGUUCAUCGGAGAUGGACUUCUUCAGUGAAUAUGGCGAUGCUAAUAGAUACAAAAUUCAGGAAGUCAUCGGUAAAGGGAGUUACGGUGUCGUUUGUUCAGCUAUUGACCAACAUACUGGCGACAAGGUGGCAAUCAAGAAAAUACACAAUAUCUUUGAGCAUUUAUCUGAUGCUGCUCGGAUCCUCCGUGAGAUCAAAUUACUCUGCCUAUUGAGACAUCCUGAUAUAGUUGAGAUCAGGCAUAUAAUGUUGCCUCCGUCAAGGAGGGAUUUCAAGGAUAUUUAUGUCGUCUUUGAGCUGAUGGAUACAGACCUCCACCAAGUCAUCAAGGCCAACGAUGACUUAACCAAAGAGCACCACCAGUUCUUUCUCUAUCAGAUGCUUCGUGCACUGAAAUAUAUUCAUACCGCUAAUGUUUAUCAUCGUGAUUUGAAGCCAAAGAAUAUAUUGGCAAAUGCUAACUGUAAACUCAAAAUAUGUGAUUUUGGGCUAGCACGAGUUGCAUUCAAUGACACUCCCACGACUGUAUUUUGGACGGAUUAUGUUGCUACUAGAUGGUAUAGGGCUCCUGAGCUUUGUGGAUCUUUCUUUACUAAGUAUUCACCAGCUAUUGACAUAUGGAGUAUUGGUUGCAUUUUUGCGGAGAUUUUAACUGGGAAACCUUUGUUUCCUGGUAAAAAUGUAGUUCACCAGUUGGAUUUAAUGACUGAUCUCUUGGGUACGCCAUCACUGGAUACUGUUUCCAGGAUCCGGAAUGAGAAGGCAAGGAGGUACUUGAGUAGUAUGAGGAAAAAACAACCGGUAUGUUUUUCUGAGAGGUUCCCCAAAGCAGAUCCUGCUGCACUCAAACUUAUGCAGCGGCUUUUAGCAUUUGACCCCAAGGAUAGACCAACGGCAGAAGAGGCGUUAGCUGAUCCAUAUUUUAAAGGCCUUGGGAAGGUAGAGAGAGAACCAUCCUGCCAGCCAAUAUCGAAAUUUGAGUUUGAGUUUGAACGGAAAAAGGUGACAAAAGAGGACGUAAAGGAACUUAUAUUCCGCGAGAUAUUGGAGUAUCAUCCUCAACUUCUCAAGGAUUACAUGAAUGGAACUGAAAAAACGAACUUCCUAUAUCCUAGUGCUGUAGACAAUUUCCGAAGGCAAUUUGCUAAUUUGGAGGAAAAUGGAGGGAAGGGAGGGGCAAUCGUUCCAUCGGACAGGAAGCAUGUUUCGCUCCCCAGGACUACUACAGUUCAUUCUACACCAAUUCCUCCAAAAGAUCAGAAGUCUUCCCAAGUUCCCCAAAGGAUUCCAACAGGUAGACCAGGAAGAGUGGUUGGCCCGGUAAUACCAUUUGAGAAUUCAUGUGCUAUGGAUCCUUACAGUCAACGAAGGGUGGCGAGGAAUCCAGUACUUCCUGCAGCUGCUACCAAUGUAUCAGCAUACGCAUACCACCGAAAGUCAGACAGUUCAGAGAGAGAGUUACAGCAGGAGCUUGAAAAAGACCGCAUGCAGUACCAGCCGAUGCAGCGUUUCAUGGAUGCCAAGAUGGUCUCCCCUGACUUGAGGUCUACCUCCUAUUACAUGCCAAAGGGUGCCCCAAAAGCCGAUGUAGCAGAAAGGACUGGUUUGCAGCCAAACAUGAUGCAGGGAAUUGCCCCGUUUAAUGGCAUUGCUGCAGUUGGAGGUAGCUACAAUAAGGCCAGUGCUGUUCAGUAUGGAGUUUCAAGGAUGUACUAA
rnacentral:rRNA from 1 species